rnacentral:rRNA from 1 species
AUACAUAGGGGGCAAGCGUUAUCCGGAAUUAUUGGGCGUAAAGGGUGCGUAGGCGGUAUGUUAAGUUUAAGGUAUAAGCUCAAGGCUCAACCUUGGGAGGCUUUAGAAACUGGCAUGCUAGAGGACAGUAGAGGCAAGUGGAAUUCCAUGUGUAGCGGUAAAAUGCGUAAAUAUAUGGAGGAACACCAGUGGCGAAGGCGGCUUGCUGGGCUGUAACUGACGCUGAGGCACGAAAGCGUGGGGAGCAAACAGGAUUAGAUACCCUGGUAGUCCACGCCGUAAACGAUGAGUACUAAGUGUUGGAGGAAUUCAGUGCGGAAGUUAACAUAUUAAGUACUCCGCCUGAGUAGUACGUGCGCAAGCAUGAA